rnacentral:rRNA from 1 species
GACGAACUGUUCUAACGUUAUUCGGAAUCACUGGGCUUAAAGGGCGCGUAGGCUGUUUGUUAAGCGGGGUCUGAAAUCCCUCGGCUCAACCGAGGAACUGGGCUUCGAACUGGCAGACUAGAGUGAAGUAGGGGUAAGCGGAACUUGCGGUGGAGCGGUGAAAUGCUUUGAUAUCGCAAGGAACACCGGCGGCGAAGGCGGCUUACUGGGCUUCAACUGACGCUUAAGCGCGAAAGCUAGGGUAGCGAACGGGAUUAGAUACCCGGGUAGUCCCUGAGCGGGCUGGCAA